rnacentral:piRNA from 1 species
UCUGCCCGGACUACUACCGGCGGCCGGCCU